GGCAGCAUGGCAUAGUGGUUUGAGCAUUGGACUAUGACUCCAGAGACUAGGAUUCGAUUCCCAGCUCAGUCA